UUUUAGAAAAUAUUUCAAGUACUGUGCAUCAUAAUGUGAUGGUAUAUUCAUCAAACUGAAACGAGUUACUUGUUGCAUAUGUAGCUAAUAGACCUAAUAAAACGAUCAGAUACGCUUUACACUGCAAUGUUAUUUGUAGUGUGAUUAACUAAAUUUAAACAAUAUAGGGACAGUAUUGAUAUAUGCACGAAUUAAAUCCUAGCAGAUGUGUAGAAUUAAAUUAGCUGUAAUUGAAGUCAAAUGUUCCCUAUUCUGAAAUUGUUGUAACGCUAUGUCUUUGACGUGUCUCUGCCUCACUAUUAAUGUUUUUGUUGUCUUUUUCUACACAGUUUAAAGUUUGACACCAGAGCAAAUGUGCAAAACUUACAUUUUGGAAUUUGGGGCUGGAGAUACAUUUGUAAGACUAACUUUAACUCCAACUGAUUUCAGAAGUUGGCAUAGCUCAGUGUGUUCUCAUUUUCAAUGUGUGGUCUUUUUCAUGAUUUGGAUUUGAGUGAUGGAUUGGAAGUGCAGGUUAUGCGAUUCCUCCUCACCUACCCGAGCAGGGUUACUUAGGCAUUAUGGUUUGCAUCAUAGCCAUUUUUCAAAGCAGAUAAUCUUGCAGCUCACGGAUUGGCAGGCUUUGUACAGUCAUUUCGUUCUGAGUAUGUGUGCAGAUUCUGUCUGGCAACUCAAGACCAGUUUAAAUCGCAGGAAGUUGCUGAGGGUGAAUUCAGUCUGAGAACUAAGCAUAAAAGGCCAGUUGCUGUUGACACCAAAGCGAUUUCUACCAUUACAAUAAGAUGGCGGAAUCCCAGAAACUUGUACUGAGAGUUUACAUUGCUCCUGACAUUGCCCACAAGAUGACCCUUUCUACACGCCCAAGUACAGUAGAAGAGUUGAUUACAGUGAUUAAAGAGAAAUUCAGACCUCGUCUUGAUUUUGAUUUCAGCCUCCAAUAUGAAGACCCAGACUUUGGGGGGGAACUCUGCUUUCUAACAGACAUUUCAGAACUGCCGGAGAAAGCUGUAUUGAAAGUACACAGAUCUGAGACUGAAGCCAGCUCAACUGCAACUUCAGACACCGAAAUACUUCCUUAU